rnacentral:rRNA from 1 species
CUACGGAGGGGGCUAGCGUUGUUCGGAAUUACUGGGCGUAAAGCGCACGUAGGCGGAUUAAAAAGUUAGAGGUGAAAUCCCAGGGCUUAACCCUGGAACUGCCUUUAAAACUAGUAGUCUAGAGUUCGAGAGAGGUGAGUGGAAUUCCAAGUGUAGAGGUGAAAUUCGUAGAUAUUUGGAGGAACACCAGUGGCGAAGGCGGCUCACUGGCUCGAUACUGACGCUGAGGUGCGAAAGCGUGGGGAGCAAACAGGAUUAGAAACCCGGGUAGUCC